UCCAGGUUGGUCCAGGUGUCUAUAGGUUCUGAUAUAAUGUUGUGUUCUCUCCAGGUUGGUCCAGGUGUCUAUAGGUCCUGAUAUAAUGUUGUGUUCUCUCCAGGUUGGUCCAGGUGUCUAUAGGUCCUGCUAUAAUGUUGUGUUCUCUCUAGGUGUCUAUAGGUCCUGAUAUAAUGUUGUGUUCUCUCCAGGUGUCUAUAGGUCCUGAUAUAAUGUUGUGUUCUCUCCAGGUUGGUCCAGGUGUCUAUAGGUCCUGAUAUAAUGCUG
ensembl:lncRNA